AAUUUCCCCUCUGUUCUUUUCUAUCUAGGCUGCGUCAAUGAUUGUAGUGCUAAUUGUUACAGACAUGACCACAAUGCCAAGGCGAAUGGGGACAAUGAAAUCCAUGGCUGGUUUUAAGGGCAGGUGCAGAGGAUCCAGCAUGUUAUUCUGAAACCCCAGAAGACGCUGCAGCUACCAAAUAGAAGGAGCCUGGAUCCCUGAAUGUCUUCAUGGAACAGAACAUUCUCCUCACUCCAGUCUGUUUGAACCAGAAUAUGACCUGAGCAAGAAAUAAGCCUUAAUUAUAUUUGACCAUAGAAUUCUGGUGAUAUUUCUAUGGCUGUAAGUCCAUGUUGAUUAAUACAAAGGGAUGCUGUAAAGCCUCUUCUAUUAAAAAAAGUUGCCCAA
rnacentral:lncRNA from 10 species